AUCGCUUCUCGGCCUUUUAGCUAAGAUCAAGUGUAGUAUCUGUUCUUAUCAGAAGUCACAUACAUAAUGCAUGUGGACUAUUUUUAAAGUCUCAUUUUAUGGCUCUCUUCUACCUGUAGAGAAUGCUCCCAAGUCCAGAGGGAUGGAAAUGAUAGCUCUUAAAUCUUACUCAUCUAUUGUCCACUAUUG